AUGGCAGCAGCUCGUCUGGCCUCCACGGUGCUCGCCGGGAGGAGGAGGGCGGCCUCCGUCGUCAUCGCUGCCGGCCCACGCUACGGCGGCGGCGGCGGCGGCGUCCACGUGCACCCGUGGGCGGCCUUCCCCUCCCCGACCGCCACCACGCGCCACGCCGUCGUCGCUGCCGGCGGUGGCGUCCCCUGCCUGCUCCCGAGGGCGGCCUUCCCCUCCCCGACGCUGCCGCCCAAGCCACGGGCCUUCUCCUCAUCAGGCAGCCUGGGUCGCCGGGAUGGUGGUGCACCCAGAGGCGGGAGCUUCCUCGGAUGGACCAAAACCGUCGACUUGGAUCUCUCCCGGAUCCUCACCAACAUGGAGAUGCUCGUCAAGACCACCGGCUCGCACAAGGCCCUCCUCGAAGAAUACGCUCAAACACUUGAGAAGCUAACCAUAGCGGUGGAGAAAAAUGAGAGGAGCAAGGGCAGCCUAGCAACAACUUCCUUAUUUCUCAUGGCUUCAGUGGUCACUAUUUCUUUUGGUGUCUACUUUUUUGGGGUUUUCACUGGGCGAGUAGAUGUUAAUGGGUUUCUCAAGGGUUUCAUCAUCGAUUUCCUUGAUGAUCCUACCAUUUCCGUCAAAAUGCACGAUUACGUUGAUGAUUUGGCCGGCAGUGCAGUGGAGUCCAUUAACCCAAUCAAAAGAUUUGUCCACUGGUUGUCUGGACAACCCAGGCCUGCUCAUUAUCAGAAGCUCAAUGAGGAAGUCCUUAACUAUUAUACCGACUGGUCAUCUAUCCUUGCAUUUGCCGUCAACUCCAUUGCCAAAUCAGAAGGGGGCAAAAUAUCUGAAAAGGCUUUGUGGCGCUUUUUGAUCAAUGUGGGGGUGCAGGAAACUAAACUGAACAAGGCAUUGCUGAAAGUACUAGUGAGAGAGAGGUAAGUGCUCAUUA
rnacentral:lncRNA from 1 species